rnacentral:rRNA from 1 species
AACGAACGCUGGCGGCGAUGGAUUAGGCAUGCAAGUCGAACGGGAGCAGCAAUGCUCCAGUGGCGCAAGGGUGAGGAACACGUGAACAACCUGCCUUCGAUUGGGGAUAGCUUCUGGAAACGGGAGAUAAUACCGAAUAACAUCAUUGGAUCGCAUGAUUUGAUGAUCAAAGCAGCAAUGCGCUUGAAGAGGGGUUCGCGUCCCAUUAGCUAGUUGGUGAGGUAACGGCCCACCAAGGCGAUGAUGGGUAGCUGGUCUGAGAGGACGAUCAGCCACAUUGGGACUGAGAUACUGCCCAGACUCCUACGGGAGGCUGCAGUCGAGAAUUUUGGGCAAUGGACGAAAGUCUGACCCAGCAAAUGCCGCGUGCGGGAUGAAGGUCUUCGGAUUGUAAACCGCUGUCAAGAGGGACGAAACAUGACGGUACCUCUGGAGGAAGCCACGGCUAACUACGUGCCAGCAGCAGC